CUCCGGACAGUUCUAGAGGGGCCUCUUUGGGAGAAGGGACCAGAGCUCUGAGCCAAGGCCCCUGUUUGGAAGAGGAAGCAGCGGCAGAGAAGACUGGGGAGAAAUUGCUGGGGAGGCGGCAGCCACGAUGGCGCCGAGACAGGAAAGUGGUCAGGCGAGGAGCCCGAGGGCUGAUCAGGCUGUGACUGCCCCGCUGCCCUCAGCCAGGCCAGCCGCAGCCAGCUGACAUGGGAGUACAUACAGAUGUUGGAAUAUGAAGAAGCCUCUAAGAUCACUGGAAGAGAAUGAGACAGGCAGUGAAAGAUGAAGAACUUAUUUACAACCUGUAAAAAAUAGAAGGAACAGCAACAACAAAACUGGAAGGAACAGGCCACGUGCCGCGAUCUCAGGACCGUGUGGACAGCGACACUGACACGGCCACUUGGUCUGGUUUCAUCUGAAAAGCAAGUCCUGCCUCAAAGGAGCAAGCAGUGCUGGUGAGGCCUCGUCCCCCAGUCCAUCACGCAUUCCGGAACCACAGUGCUGCUGAAAAGAAACCAACCACACGUGCGCCUGCCUUCUUUAAUUAAAAAGGUCAUUAAAUUAUAAUAAUGAGUCAGGA